rnacentral:rRNA from 1 species
CUAAGAUAGUAAGAGCAUACGGUGGAUGCCUUGGCGAUAUCUGCCGAUGAAGGACGCGACAAGCUGCGAAAAGCUGCGGAGAGGUGCAAAUGACCAUUGACCCGCAGAUCUCCGAAUGGAGCAAUCCGGCAGGGUUUAUCCCCUGUCACCCAUAUCUUCGAAUAUGGGAGGGAACCGGGCGAACUGAAACAUCUAAGUAGCCCGAGGAAGAGUAAUCAAACGAGAUACCCCAAGUAGCGGCGAGCGAACGGGGCCUAAGCCCAAACCGGUGAAGGAAACUUUGCCGGGGUUGAGGACUGCCAUACGAACUCAACCAUUAGCCGAAAUUCCUGGGAAGGAAUGCCGAAGAAUGUGAAAGCCAUGUAAGCGAAAAUGGAAAAGGGACAGGCAGCACCAGAGUACCGCGGGACACGAGAAACCCCGUGGGAAGCCGGGGGGACCACCCUCCAAGGCAAAACACAGAUAUCGACCGAUAGCGCAUAGUACCAUGAGGGAAAGGUGAAAAGCACCCCGGGAGGGGAAUGAAAGAGAACCUGAAACCGUAUGUUUACAAGCAGUCGAAGACCGCUUAAUAAUAAGGUCAACGGCGUGCCUAUUGAAGAAUGAACCGGCGAGUUAUGAGGUCCAGCAAGGUUAAGCAGGAAAUGCGGAGCCGAAGCGAAAGCGAGUCUUAAUAGGGCGACAAGUUGGAUUGCAUAGACCCGAAACCACAGUGAUCUACCCAUGUCCAGGCUGAAGCACAGGUAAAAAUGUGUGGAGGGCCGAACCUAUAUCCGUUGAAAAGGGUUAGGAUGAGGUGUGGGUAGGGGUGAAAUUCCAAUCGAACGUGGAGAUAGCUGGUUCUCCCCGAAAUAGCUUUAGGGCUAGCCUCGAGGUAGAGAUUGCAGGCGGUAGAGCACUGAUCAGGAGAGGGGCCUACCCGGCUACCAAACCCAGUCAAACUACGAAUGGCUGCAAUUAUACUCGGGAGUCAGACUACGACUUAUAAGGGCCGUGGUCAAAAGGGAAACAGCCCAGAUCAUCAGCUAAGGUCCCAAAUGCCGUGCUAAGUGGCGAAGGAUGUGGCGUUUCAUAAACAACCAGGAUGUUGGCUCAGAAGCAGCCACCAUUUAAAGAGUGCGUAAUAGCUCACUGGUCGAGAGACGCUGCGCCGAAAAUGUCCGGGGCUCAAGCACGGAACCGAAGCUAUGGCAUGAUAGCAAUAUCAUGGGUAGGGGAGCGUUCUUAACAGGAAGAAGCAUGACCGUAAGGACAUGUGGACCGUUAAGAAGUGAGAAUGCCGGUAUGAGUAUCGAAAAGAAAGGUGAGAAUCCUUUCCACCGAAAGCCCGAGGGUUCCUGAGCAACGAUCGUCGUCUCAGGGUAAGUCGGGACCUAAGCCGAGGCGGAGACGCAUAGGCGAUGGACAACAGGUUGAAAUUCCUGUACCGGAUACAAUCGUUUGAGCGAUGGAGCGACGCAGAAAGGCAUAUGAUCGCGCGACUGGAAGAGCGCGUCCAAGUGCGUAUGUUGAAUCGGAGGCAAAUCCCUGAUUCUGAAAGCAGAGACACGAUGGGGAGUUAUACGAAAGUAUGACGAACUCAUAGAUCCUACACUGCCAAGAAAAACUUCUAGUGAGAAAGUAUCCGCCCGUACCGUAAACCGACACAGGUAGGCGGGGAGAGAAUCCUAAGGUGCGCGGGAAAACCCUCGUUAAGGAACUCGGCAAAUUGCAUCCGUAACUUAGGGAGAAGGAUGACCUUAAGUAAGCGAAAGGGAGAAACCCCUGGAACAGAACAAGGUGGCAGAAAAGAGGCCCAAGCAACUGUUUACCAAAAACACAGGUGCCUGCGAAAGCGAAAGCUGAAGUAUAGGUGCUGACGCCUGCCCGGUGCUGGAAGGUUAAGGAGAGAUGUCAGAGCAAUCGAAGCAUUGAACUGAAGCCCCAGUGAACGGCGGCCGUAACUAUAACGGUCCUAAGGUAGCGAAAUUCCUUGUCGGGUAAGUUCCGACCCGCACGAAAGG